rnacentral:rRNA from 1 species
CCCUACGGGACGCAGCAGUAGGGAAUCUUCCACAAUGGACGAAAGUCUGAUGGAGCAACGCCGCGUGAGUGAAGAAGGGUUUCGGCUCGUAAAGCUCUGUUGGUAGUGAAGGAAGAUAGAGGUAGUAACUGGCCUUUAUUUGACGGUAAUUACUUAGAAAGUCACGGCUAACUACGUGCUAGCAGCCGCGGUAAUACGUAGGUGGCAGGCGUUGUCCGGGUUUAUUGGGCGUAAAGCGAGUGCAGGCGGUUUAAUAA